UAGCGAAGGGGGCUAGCGUUGUUCGGAAUCAGCUGGGCGUAAAGCGCACGCAGGCGGAUCGUUAAGUCAGGGGUGAAAUCCCGAGGCUCAACCUCGGAACUGCCUUCGAUACGUGCGGGUCUCGAGUCCGGGAGAGGUGAGUGGAAUUCCUAGUGUAGAGGUGAAAUUCGUAGAUAUUAGGAAGAACACCAGUGGCGAAGGCGGCUCACUGGCCCGGUACUGACGCGUGAGGCGCGAAAGCGUGGGGAGCAACAGG
rnacentral:rRNA from 1 species